rnacentral:lncRNA from 1 species
CGUAAUCCAAACUAAUAUUAUAAAUGCGAAAGUAACUCUGUCUGUCUGUCUGUCUGUCUGUCUGUCUGUCUUUCUGUCUGUCUGUCUGUCUUUUCUUCACGCCUAAACUACUGAACCGAUUUGUGUGAAAUUUGGUACAGACAUAGUUUGAAACUUGAGAAAGGACAUAGGAUAGUUUUUAUUACAAAAAAAAAAAAAAUAUUCCGGACAUAUAGCGCCAUCUAUUGGUCAAAUCAAAAAUCUGCUGGUAGUCACUAUUCCACGCGAACGAAGUUGCGGGCAAAAGCUAGUAUCUUAUAAGUACAUUAAUUUAGAAAAAUAAGCUUUCAAGCCUUGUUGAUUGUUUAUUCUGAAUCUUGUUAGAGUAGUCAGAAUAUUUUAGUAUACAUAUAUUGGCAUCCUGUCUUUAAAGCCUUUCUGGAGCAAAUGUUAUCUUUGUUACAUAGCUACUUACAAGAUAUACAUAAUCAUUGAAAAAAAAUAUACUUCAGUUAUAAAGAAAGUAUACUUGACUAUGAAAUUAAAAUAAAUAUUGCUAUGUAAAAGGAUGUUUAUUACAUUUUGUAAAUAAAAGUUGAUUCCAAGUCACUGGGUACUCUAUUAGGCAAUUUCUUAUGUACUUUUGUAAAAAUAAACUUCAAUCUUUUUCGUACUACAUAGUUGACUAGUGUUCCUGCAAUGUUAGAUUUUAUUCCUAUUGACUUGUACAUAUUGCAGUAAAUAGUACGUAAGUUAUUUUGUAUGAGUGAAAUCGGAAAUACAUGAAGUUUUGUGAUA